AUUCUAUAAAAAGCCACCAUCCAGUCUGAAUCAAUCAUUAGCAGGAGAGCUCCCAGUCCAUCUCUUUGGGUUACCCUUCGGCUGGAAUGAGGGCUACUUGGUAACUUUCAUGACAGCUUGCUUUUUAACGUGAUAAUCUCAGAGAAUCAUCUUUUGGGCAGCCGAAGCUUGCUGAAUCUUUAAUCUAGAGUUAAAGCAUGGGACAGUCAGCUGAGAUCACAGAAUGGGAGAACACCUUUGACUGCCAGACUUAUAGUUGGAAUCUCUAAACAACUCUAAAAAUGAAACGCUGAAAUCGUCGAAUCAACACAUGGGCAAACAGAGUUCAUAGCAUCUUGUAGAUUUGGCUCAUCUACGGAAGUAUUCUCAGCAGGAACAAGUUCAUUAGAAAAGCCCAGGGACGCCAAGGAACUGGACAUGCCCGAAACCCCAUUCUGGGUAAAUGGGGCAGCUUACACCCAGCUUUUGCCUGCGGAGCAGGCCAUCUGACAAAGAGGGCUGAAUGCAAAUGCAGUUUGGACUUGUUCCCACCAGCCACGGAAGCCCUUGAGCGAGGGAGCAACCGGAGUAAUAGCAAAAGCGCUGAUUUAAGAAGAUGGGUUUGGAAACUACGGGAAUGACAGAGUGGAAUGGGAACACCCAGCUCUGGGCUGUUCCAAUCUGUGCUUUAGAAAACAGAGCUCAGAAAGUCAAUGACUCUGCCCCUCAGCCUGCUGUCUGGUAGUGUAAGGAUGUCUUGCAAAAUGUGCAGGCCCCGAUCUCUGCUUGAUAUGGAAGCCUCCAGGGGACCCCAGAGCCUACAAAACAGAAUAGCAGUCUGGAAAAUGUUGUCGAAUGGCUCCCAUGGUGUCUCAGUCUCUCCAACCUGGUUUUGAUCACCUCAUCUGGACAGGAAACAGAGGCAAGCAGACGGUUUCACUCUGCAACCAAAGCCACGUGUGCCUUUGAAAACAUUUCUUACUUCAGGAGGUGUCCGGCCUCAGAAAAUGCUGCUCCAAAGUCCUUUGGAUGGAAUUGAAUGAGACCUAGAGGAUUCACAAGGAAUCUCCAUUUUGAAGAUGGUGGCAGAUUCAAGAUCAGAAGUCUCACAGAGAGGGCUCCUGCUGAACGCCUGGGAGAAGAAUAGACCAGAAGGAGGCUGGACACAGAGGCUGUGUGGGGCCACUCCAGCCUAUCACCAGGACACCUAAGCCUUCUGUCCAGUUGUGCUUUACACUGUCCUCCAGGCUUCCAAACAGUUUUCAUUGAGUCUUUGGAUGCUCAUUUCUGAAGCCACAUUAAAUCGAGGCUACUUCCUC
rnacentral:lncRNA from 1 species